rnacentral:lncRNA from 1 species
UGGAGCAGUGGAAGGUAAAAGCAUGGCCAGAAUCUCCACAAGCAUCGCAAGUGAACUCACCGUCGCUAUAAGGUGGGGAAGGGACAAAAGAUAAAGAGUGUUUAGGGUGUGAUUUGUGUCUGAUUUGUCGCGGCAAUUCUAAGCAUGAUUUGUGGAGGAUAAAGUUGCAAGUUGGCUUAGUGCAAGUGUAGGCUAAAUUACUUUGAAUAUUUAGCUCACAGCCUGAGCAUAUGAUCUCUUCUUGUUGGUUUUUGUCUUCAGAUUCUAGGAGAUGUAGAGGAUGACGGUGGCUGAAAUGGCUGAAUUGCUUCAUCUCUCUGUCUCUUCUUUGCUGAUGUAUGUCAACUCUCUUUUGCUAUAAAUAUAU